rnacentral:lncRNA from 1 species
CAAUCGACUUCAAACUUAGUACACAUGUCCCUAUGAUAUGAUCUUUCUAAUUUUAAUGCCAAAUUAGAGUUUUUACCCCAAUUUCACGGUCCACUGAACAUGGAAAAUGAUAGUGCGAGUGGGGCAUUCGUGUACUGAAGACACAUUCUUGUUUUGAGAGGAUUAAUAUUCAACAGCAUAGUGAAUUGCUCUAAGAGAAAACAAAAAUUUUAAGUUCAUUAGAACACAUUCAUUCUGUGUCAGAAACCUAUGCUGUGUCAACUAUUUAAUCACAAUCCAAAUUUAGAGCUGAAUCCAGCUUGAAUGUUGUGUCCAUACUUGCCCCAACCGUUCAGGGUUCAACCUCUGCGGUCGUAUAAAGCUACGCCCUGCGGAGCAUCUGGUUUAAUAAGUGCACAAUCUUUGAGAAUGAUUUAAAUAACCAAUGAAGGAUAUCCCUGCUUAUGCGUAGUGUGGCAUUGAACCCAUUCCAACAAUGACGUCACUAUAAAAUAUAAUGUAGGUUGGAUAUAUUUAAAAUAUCUCGUCAUACUGAUUUUUCCGGAUUGUAAAAGAAACGUAAAUAGUGUAAAGGAGAGCUCAUUAUACGAUAAUUUCGAGAGAAACAGAAGGGAAAUGUGUAAAAAAGUGUUCAAAGUCAAUUUAUUCAUUUGUGUCUCCCCAUCUCAUCAUUCUCAGUAAGAUUUGUUGGGGGGUUUUCCACACUAUAAAAACAAAAUGAAUGAUGUGAGGGAAUGUCACUCUGG